AGAACGAACGCUGGCGGCAGGCUUAACACAUGCAAGUCGAACGCCCCGCAAGGGGAGUGGCAGACGGGUGAGUAACACGUGGGAACAUACCCUUCGGUUCGGAACAACGUUUGGAAACGAACGCUAAUACCGGAUACGGCCUAUGGGCGAAAGAUUCAUCGCCGAAGGAUUGGCCCGCGUUCGAUUAGCUUGAUGGUGAGGUAACGGCUCACCAUGGCGACGAUCGAUAGCUGGUCUGAGAGGAUGGCCAGCCACAUUGGGACUGAGACACGGCCCAAACUCCUACGGGAGGCAGCAGUGGGGAAUAUUGGACAAUGGGCGCAAGCCUGAUCCAGCCAUGCCGCGUGAGUGAUGACGGCCUUAGGGUUGUAAAGCUCUUUCGCACGCGACGAUAAUGACGGUAGCGUGAGAGAAGCCCGGCUAACUCGCGCCAGCAGCCGC
rnacentral:rRNA from 1 species